rnacentral:rRNA from 1 species
CACGUAGGGAGCAAGCGUUAUCCGGAAUUAUUGGGUGUAAAGGGUGCGUAGACGGGGAUACGAGUUGGUUGUGAAAUCCCUCGGCUUAACUGAGGAACUGCAACCAAAACUAUAUUUCUUGAGUGCAGGAGAGGAAAGCGGAAUUCCUAGUGUAGCGGUGAAAUGCGUAGAUGUUAGGAGGAACACCAGUGGCGAAGGCGGCUUUCUGGACUGUAACUGACGUUGAAGCACGAAAGUGUGGGGAGCAAAC